CGCAGCCUUGUCAAAUUCAGUGCUUCCUCCUCCAUGGAUGCCACUGGCCAAAAUGGCUGCCACAGUGAAACUGUAGUUCAUGGGCCCCACGCUGCUUCAACAUGUCUGCUGGGGAUAAAUAUGUACUACACACAAAA
rnacentral:snoRNA from 1 species